AAUGGAUGAAAUAUGAAGUUUUAUUAAAAGAAAAAGGGGUGAAAAGAACAAACUUUUGUCCAUCUUUGUUCAUCAUAGCUGAAAGUUAGAGAAGAGAAAGGAGAGGAGAAAGCUCUUGAGUAUUCGGUCAUUAGGAGGAGGAAAAUUAAAGGCGGUUCGUGUGUGGAUCUCGUCAGCAUAUCGUCGCAAACAGGUAAUCCCCAACCAUAGUGGGCUUGGAGCUGUGAGGGAAUUCGGAGUGGCCACCCGUUCUGAAAGUUUGAUUUUCUUCUGGUGAACUGGACAUCCUUUUAAUUACGUUUGAGGUUUUGGGCUUUUAAAUGUAAUAAGGCCGCUGAUUUAUUUUUGAUGGUUUUUAAA